AUUGCUUAUUGGUCUUCAGUCCACAUCAAGUGUACCAUCUGUUCUAAUCAGUUUAAUAGCUGAAACGUUUCUAUCAGGGCAAAAAUUAAAUCAAAUUUUGGAGCAGGCAGAUGAAAUGGGGAGCUUGCUUCAUCCAGUCCAUGCAUUGACCUUGUAUUGCAGUAUCUCCAGGCAUGUUGCACCCCCU
ensembl:snRNA U2 U2 spliceosomal RNA